ACUCUCUAGUACGAUUUUGGUCCCCAUA
rnacentral:sRNA from 1 species